GUGCUCCCUGCAGCAGCACGUAAACCAAAAUUGGAAGUAUACAGAGAUUAACAUGGCCCCUGCAUAAGGAUGACAUGAAAAUUAGUGAAGCAGCCCAUAUUUUU
rnacentral:snRNA from 1 species